ACAUCCGUGACAGGUGAGACAAACAUCCGUGACAGGUGAGACAAACAUCCGUGACAGGUGAGACAAACAUCCGUGACAGGUGAGACAAACAUCCGUGACAGGUGAGACAAACAUCCGUGACAGCUGAGACAAACAUCCGUGACAGGUGAGACAAACAUCCGUGACAGGUGAGACAAACAUCCGUGACAGGUGAGACAAACAUCCGUGACAGGUGAGACAAACAUCCGUGACAGGUGAGACAAACAUCCGUGACAGGUGAGACAAACAUCCGUGAUA
rnacentral:lncRNA from 1 species